CAGUCGCCACGGUAAUACGUAGGUGGCAAGCGUUGUCCGGAAUUAUUGGGCGUAAAGGGCUCGCAGGCGGUUUCUUAAGUCUGAUGUGAAAGCCCCCGGCCCAACCGGGGAGGGUCAUUGGAAACUGGGAAACUUGAGUGCAGAAGAGGAGAGUGGAAUUCCACGUGUAGCGGUGAAAUGCGUAGAGAUGUGGAGGAACACCAGUGGCGAAGGCGACUCUCUGGUCUGUAACUGACGCUGAGGAGCGAAAGCGUGGGGAGCGAACAGGAUUAGAUACCCCUGUAGUCCCUGUCUCUUAUAC
rnacentral:rRNA from 1 species